rnacentral:lncRNA from 1 species
GCUGCUGCUGCAUCAGCUAUGGCUGUACCUGGAUUGGACUCUCGAAUCCCUAAUUUGAGUGCUGCAACCUCAGAACAUAAUCUCAGCAGAAUGGGAACUCAAAUGGGUGGGCCGUCAUUCGUGGACCCUAUGUAUCUUCAGUACUUGACUGCAACCUCAGAGCAUAAUCUCAGUAGAAUGGGAAAUCAAAUGGGAGGGCCGUCAUUCAUGGACCCUAUGUAUCUUCAGUACUUGACUGCUGAAUAUGUUGCUGCUCUUAACGAUCCUUCCUUGGACAGGAACUACAUGGGAAAUUCGUA